AGAGUUAAAACCGAUGUAACGGACUUUUAGCGAGAAAGACAGCCGCAAAAUCUUUCCAUCAGAUAAAUUUGAAAUUCAUUUACAAACUGAAAAGUUAGAUUUUGUUUGUGAUUGUCUUGUUUAAGACAAUUAAAGGCAGGGUUGGUAAUGUUGACAAACCAGCAAGAGUACAUUAGAUUUUGGAAAAAUGAUCCAACCUAAAAACCCGGGGCAGUGUUGCCAACUCUUUUCCAGUGAAAGUAGUUAGCAGCACUACCUCCAAAAGGCCCUACGGGCCUGUGUACACG